AAAAAAUUACAGAGUUCCCUCAAAAAAUUGUCAGUGAAUAAUAUUCCUGGCAUUGAAGAGGUGAACAUGAUAAAAGAAGAUGGUACCGUGAUCCACUUUAAUAAUCCAAAAGUACAGGCCUCACUAGCAGCAAAUACUUUUGCAAUUACUGGACAGGCUGAAAACAAACAGAUCGCUGAAAUGUUGCCUGGAAUCUUAAACCAACUAGGUGCAGAAAGCUUUAGCAGCCUAAAGAAGCUGGCAUCCACGGUAGCAGCCUCUGGAGAUAACAAACAAUCCACAGAAGACAUUGAUGAAGAUGAUGAUGGAGUCCCGGAAUUAGUCGGCAACUUUGAUGAAACAUCUAAAGGGGAGUGAGAAGAAUGUGCAAGAAUUGAUAAAAAUCUCUAGUGCAUGUACUUUUGUCGGUUUGUGAUAUUGAAGUUACUCUCGAGUGUGAAGCCAUGCGUAUAUUUCCCAGCUAUAAUAUUUUGGAGACCAGGCCGUAAUAUUAAAAAAUGAUAAUAAUAAUAAUAAACAUCUGCAGACAAAUAGUGUGUGGAUGAACAUCCUUUGUAGCAGACAACUGCCAUUAUGAAUGACAUAUACUUCUUUUUCAUACAAUGAUCAAGAGCACUUGGGAAUCAGUUGACUUAAAUUUGUUGGCUUUUAAUAUUAGGUAUACAUAUUUAUUUCAUCUUUUACUCAAGUGCUAAACCAAAUAAACACAAAUUUUUCUCU
rnacentral:misc_RNA from 1 species